GACGAACGCUGGCGGCGUGCUUUACACAUGCAAGUCGAACGGUGAAGGUGGAGCUUGCUCCGCCGGAUCAGUGGCGAACGGGUGAGUAACACGUGGGCAACCUGCCCCUAACUUUGGGAUAACUACUCGAAAGAGUAGCUAAUACCGGAUAUGAAGUCUGUAGGCAUCUAUGGAUUUGGAAAGUUUUUCGGUUAGGGAUGGGCCCGCGGCCUAUCAGCUUGUUGGUGAGGUAGUGGCUCACCAAGGCGACGACGGGUAGCCGGCCUGAGAGGGCGACCGGCCACACUGGGACUGAGACACGGCCCAGACUCCUACGGGAGGCAGCAGUGGGGAAUAUUGCGCAAUGGGCGAAAGCCUGACGCAGCAACGCCGCGUGCGGGAUGAAGGCCUUCGGGUUGUAAACCGCUUUCAGCAGGGAAGAAGCGAAAGUGACGGUACCUGCAGAAGAAGCACCGGCUAACUACGUGCCAGCAGCCGCAGAA
rnacentral:rRNA from 1 species